rnacentral:rRNA from 1 species
GUCAAGCGAAUAAGUGCAUGUGGUGGAUGCCUUGGCGAUUACAGGCGAUGAAGGGCGCGGCAGCCUGCGAUAAGCCCCGGGGAGCUGGCAAACAAGCUUUGAUCCGGGGAUCUCCGAAUGGGAAAACCCAACCCGCAAGGGUUACUUCCCGCUGAAUUCAUAGGCGGGAUAGAGCGAACCUGCUGAACUGAAACAUCUAAGUAGGCAGAGGAACAGAAAUCAACCGAGAUUCCGAAAGUAGUGGCGAGCGAAAUCGGAACAGCCUGCAACUUUUAGCCAUCAACUUAGCAGAACGGUCUGGAAAGUCCGGCCAUAGAGGGUGAUAGCCCCUUAAGCGAAAAGGUGAUGGUGGAGCUAAGGUUGCGACAAGUAGGGCGGGACACGUGAAAUCCUGCCUGAACAUGGGGGGACCAUCCUCCAAGGCUAAAUACUCGUAAUCGACCGAUAGUGAACCAGGUACCGUG